rnacentral:rRNA from 1 species
GAUGAACGCUGGCGGCGUGCCUAACACAUGCAAGUCGAACGAAGCGACUCAAAGUUUUCGGACAGAGAGUUGACUGAGUGGCGGACGGGUGAGUAACGCGUGGGUAACCUGCCUCAUACAGGGGGAUAACAGUUAGAAAUGACUGCUAAUACCGCAUAAGCGCACAGUACCGCAUGGUACAGUGUGAAAAGCCGAGACGGUAUGAGAUGGACCCGCGUCUGAUUAGCUAGUUGGUGGGGUAACGGCCCACCAAGGCGACGAUCAGUAGCCGACCUGAGAGGGUGAUCGGGCCACGAUUGGAACUGAGAAACGGUCCAAAUCCUACGGGAGCAGCAGUGGGGAAUAUUGGGCAAUGGGCGCAAGCCUGACCCAGCAACGCCGCGUGAAGGAAGAAGGUCUUCGGGUUGUAAACUUC